GACGGCAAUUGUAGUUCUUUUGGUUAAGCGCCAGAGAGUGUAUCCAGGCUGUUCGACGGAAACCUGGUAGUGGUUAGGAUUUACCACAAUUUACUUUAAUCUAAAAUAAUUUCUCUACAGUUUGCAAGAAAGUAGACCUUAGUAGUCGCUUUUUCGUGAAAAUCUUAAGAAGAGCAGACACGGUUUUCAGACUUUUUACAAUAGUUAGACCAAGAACCUGUAAGCAAAAAAAGUGCCCACUAAUUUCCAAGAUGAAGCCCAAGUGAAUGGGAGAAUGUUGAAACAUAAACAGAGUGAAGUAAAGAAGAGAAGCUAAUUCUGUAGGGAAGAUGAUGCUUCUUUUAGGUUAAGAUCCAGCUGGCGAGACAUCGUGAGGAUAAGGAGAUUGCCUGACCAACUGGGAAAUAGCAGUCUAUACAGACGUCAGAGCAAAUGUAGCAGUGACCUUCAUGAAACAUCUAUUAAGACAAAAAUGUCAGUGCCAUACUUUUAAAGAUGGACUCAAGUGCAGAAGUUCCAAAGGUCAACGUGAUAUUUUGAAGCAUGAGAUGUGAGAGGAGAAUGCCGUGCAGCAGAGAUGGGAGAGCACAGGCUCUGGGGGCCACAACAGCUGACGUGCAAUUCCAACUCCU
rnacentral:lncRNA from 1 species